CACGCCGAUGGCAUGGGCGAAGCCUGAUGCAGCCAUGCCAGCGUGAAGGAUGAAGGCCUUCGGGUUGUAAACCUCUUUUCUCAGGGAAGAAACUGACUGUUCCUGAAGAAGAGACCCCGGCUGACUUCUUGCCAUCAGCCGCCUCUGUGC
rnacentral:rRNA from 1 species